UUGCAUGAAAAAGGGGCGAUGAUGAUGUCAAUUGAUGUGGCCAAAGGUUCUAAAAUUAGCAAGCUGCAAUCAAAAGAAAAUGCCAUAACUGAAGACAUUCAGAGCAUCUAUCGUGAUUUUGAGAAAUUAGCUGCUGCAGCAUGAUGUCAGAUUACCCUUUUGAAUGUAGUAAUGGAAGUGAUACCAAACUGUUAUGUAGUACUUUUUUGUUAUAACAGCCAUUAGCCCUAGAAUGCUGGUAACAAUUAUCUAUACUGCUAUAAAACUUACCUGAAGCUACCCUGAUCAGCAAUCCACCUCUAUAUCCCAAACCACUUAAUGCUGCCAGUUGUAAGUAAUUUUGAUUUGCUUUUCCUAUUCCCUUCCGUACUAUAUACCUUGAUCAACUUUGCCCAUUUGAACUUGGAUUUUAAUAUACAAACAUCGAACAUUUUUAUUAACUUAAAAACUUAAUACUAUCCGCUUUAUCUUAAAACGUUCAUCAAGAUUUACUUUCUAACUCUUAAAUUUAAAAGUUGGGUUAAUUGUAAUACGGUGUUUUCAACUUGAAUUGUCAUUAGAUUGAUUAUCAAGAAGAAUUAAUUGAUGACAAAUCUAACUAGGAACCCACCCUAGGGUUUUUUUUUUCUUUCUUUCUUUCUUUCUUGUUCUCGAAUUUUCGAAUUUGGGGUGAAAAUGAAAAUGGUUCAAAAAAUAUCAAAUUUACCCUUCCGUCAAGUUUGUUUAUUCUUUUUUUUUUUUUUUUUUAUAAAAAAAGGGGCCAUGAAAUUCAAGGGUCCAUAGUUAAUUCCGCCAAUUCUUCCCUUUAGACCUCAUUUUCACCCAUGAAAUCCCCAUUCUUUAACCAUUUUCAUUUUUUCUGUCAAUUCAAAAUAUGAUUUGAAAGGAAGAAUUGGUCAAGUUAACUUUUUUUUUUUUUUUUUUGGUCAAUAGAAACUUUCAUUCAAACACGAAAGACAGACUGGGAGAAACAGACAAAACCAAAGGUAGAAAGAGAAGGAAACAACAACAGCAACAGCAAGAAAACGCACAACUGCUAGAAGAAAACAAGGCUAGAGACCAGUUACUAUGACGCCUCCAAAAGGGGAGCCCGUCCGCCUCCAGCACAAAACUCCCUAGCACCGCAGGGGGCAAGGAAGACCAUCAGCUUGCAACACAAAAACCAGAGAGGAUGGAGGGCUGGAAGCCCAAACUUCAUCGCACAUCCUCCGCCUAGCUCGCUGAGCUGCAGCAUCCGCUGCUCGGUUUGCCCCUCGAGGGACCCAGUUCCAAGAACAAGAAAUAAAACUGCUACAAAGACGCUGAAUAGCUGAUAGCAUAAAAAAGAACACUUGCACGAGAAUUGAAAGGGAAAGGGUUGAACUUGAAGGGGUCAAUCUAAUAAUUCGAAAACAAGAAUGAAAAAAACCACAGGUGGGUUCCUAGUUAGAUUCGUCAUCAAUUAAUUCUUCUUGAUAAUCAGUCUAAUGACAAUUCAAAUUGAAAACACCGUAUUACCAUGCUAUUUAGUGAAAAACUCAGGAUCCUAAAUUAAAAUUAACCCAACUUCUUUUAAAUUUAUGAGUUAGAAAGUAACGUUUGAUGAACAUUUUUCAGAUAAAACCAAUAAUAUUAAGUUCUUAAGUUAAUAAAGAUGUUUGCCGUUUAUAUCAAAACCCAAGUUCAAAGAGGCAAAGUAGAUCAAGGUAUAUAGUACAGAAAGGAACAAGAAAAGCAAAUCAAAUUUACUUACAACUGGCAGCAUAUUAAGUGGCCUGGGAUACAGAGGUGGAUUGCUGAUCAGAAGUAGCUUCAGGUAAGUUUUAUAGCAGUACAGAUAAUUGUUACCAACAUCUAGGGCUAAUGGCUGUUAUAACAAAAUAGCACUACAUAACAGUUUGGUAUCACUUCAAUUACUACAUUCAAAAGGGUAAUCUGAAGGGUCAUCCAUCACAAUGCUGCAAAGGUUAGCAAAAACAGUGGUAAUCUAAAGAGUCAUCCAUCAUAAUCAUAAGAAUCACCAUGCUGCAACAUCUAAUUUCUCAAAAUCACAAUGGAUGCUCUGAAUGCCUUCAGUUAUAGCAUUUGCUUUUGAUUGCAACUUGCAAAUUUCAGAACCUUUGGCCGCAUCAAUUGACAUCAGCAUCGCCCGUUUUUCCUGCAAGUCCUUAAUAUCCUUAUCAAUCCGACUGAUUGUUUCAUUGUUUCUGGUUCUGUCAUGAGCAUACGCUGUGAUCUGAAUGUCAACUUCUUGUGAUCGGUUCUGAAGCUGCCCCAACUUAACUUUAAUUUCAAGCAAUUCCUUCAGACAAUCCCAUACUGCCGUGACAUCAAAGCCCAACAUUUCCAAGUCAGCUAGUGCCUCCAAAAUGCUAUCAAAUAAGUCUCUAGGAUUGCCAAAACUUGCAACUUGGAAGUCUUCUCCACCAUAAAGGCAAAGUUUACCAUCUUUCCAAGGGCUGAUCCUUCACGACAGACCUCUUUACACUUCAAUAGUGGAUGAAAAUGUGGCUUUUGCGGAAAUCUUUUGAAUACAUCCAUGGAUUCAAUAUUUUCCCAUAAUGGAAAAUUUCUCACAAAAGGCAAAUGUGGUUGCCCAACUUGUGUUCCUCCAUCCUCAUUUUGUUGCUUGGCAGUCCCAGCAGGGUUACCUAGAGAACACAAUCAUGAUCUUAGUCAAACUAACUACAGCCAAAGGAAUCCAUUGAAAAUUUUCACAAUAGCUUACUUGAGCACUCUAUGGCUUUUACAGAAUGCAUUUCAUCUAUGCACAGUGAUAAAGGUUGAUCAUGGGCGGAUGCCGUUGCAGAUAUUCCAGUCACAGCCACCUGAACUUCUUUUGUCAAGUAAUCCAUUGCAGAAUCCACAGUUUCUGUCUCUCUCGUCAUUUCUUCAGAACCUGCAAAUUUAAGAAAGAUGAAAUUUUAGACAACACAAGAUAUAAAAGUGAAUAGGAUAAGCAAGUGCUUCGAAAGAGGAAAAAACAAGAAAAAGGACAAGCAUAUCCCUAGUAAGUCUAACAUCUUUUUAUACAUCCAUGGUUUCAAUUUUUUUCCCAACUGGAGAACAUUUCAGAACAGCAAAGUGGACUGUCUUGUUGCUCAGUCUCACCCGUUACACCAGUUUCAACCUGUCUUCCACCGACCUCAUUUUGUUUGUUGGAAAUCCCAGCAGGGUUACCAAAAAGAAACCUUGAUGUUAAUCAAACGAACCAUAACCAAAACAAUGCUUUGAAAACUUUCACAAUAGCUUACUUGAGCCCUCUAUUAUCGUCUCAAUAUCCAUUGCAGAAUCUUCAAUUUCUGCUUCGACCAUUGCAUCUUCAUAACCUGUAAUUUUAAGAAAGGUAUGAAUUUUGCACUAUACUGGAUAACAAUAAAUAGGAUUAAACAAUAACUACCAACAGGGAAAAUAGUGAGAAGGAUAUGUAAAUCCCUUUUAUUUCCUAUUCACCUACCAAUAUGUUGUACAUUUCUUAUAGACUAAUUUUAACAAUAGAAACAUAUUAAGGGAUUUAAUUGUAGCUCCCUCACACCAAGGAUGAAAAUAUCUGCAAUAUAGAUAUUAUUGGGCCUUCAAUUUAGGGAUAUUUCAAGGAUAUAUCGAUGUCGUUUUGGAACUGUAGUUGUUGCUCAAGUUGAAUUGACUAAGACUCAAGUUGUGAAUGAGAAUUGUAUGGUACAUCACAACCAGGAAAAACCUUUCGUUUAUGUAAAAAGAAUAAGAGGAACUCAUGUGCAAUUUAAUUUGAUGGCUCCUAGCCUCUUCUUCCCUAAUAUGUUUUUUAUUGGUGUUCUAUAUUUUUUUUGUGAUGAAAAAUAUACAAGUCAACUACAACAUUUGGAUGGAUGUUUAGGAAAAUGAAUUUGGAAGGCUCAGUAAAUAGAGAUGUUGAAACAUAAUUAAGAAACAAUGAUUUUGCCAUUAAAGAAACACACUAACUUUUGGUUUUACCAAGUGUAGAUUCUGCUACUGUUGAACGGCAAUAAGAUAAGUCGACGUUCAAUCUCUAUGGCGGGUUUCCGCUGAGAACGGAAUAGUGUUCGUGUCCAAAGGCGAACAAAGCCCUAGCUUCUAGAGUUCGCUACUUUUCCCAGGCCGGAGAAGGUCUUAUACCGCUAGCCUUUGUUUGAUAUGACCAUUGUAGAGUUGUCCCCUAGUUCGCCAAGAUAAAUUGCUGGGAGCCAAGCACCGAAUAUAUGUUCUUUGCUGAGAUUCAAUUCCACUGCUGUCCCAGGGCUGAAAACUGAUCCCACCAUCCUCUUUGAACAAUUAGUGAGAAAUAUCAGUUUUCUUUCUAUUAGAAUUAGAAGCAAUUUCUAUCGUCCCUCAAAAUUGCAAAUGAACUGGAAAGGCAUGAACUUGCAAACAUAUAAGUAAAGACCUCAAUAAAUCCAAAUUUAAAACUCUAUAAAAUCACAAGAUCCUAAUUUGAGAUACAAAACACAAAGAGAAGACAUGAAAGAAAGAUCCUUUGAGUGCAACAACAUAAAAAGAUUUAUCUUUUCAGGAAAAUAGAAAUCUUUUUAAGGAAAAAAAGAAGAAUCUAAAAGCAGAACAAGGACCAGGCCAAUGUACAAUAAACAACCUCCAUGUUCUUAAAUCAUGAAAACCAAUGGUCAAGAUCCAAAGAAAAUUCAUAAAUAAACAAAAGAAAGCCCAUGUAACUUGCAAGCAUAAACCAAGUACAAAUCCUGUAUUAAAAAAACAAACCCACAAGCAUAACAAUUAUUAAAAUGUAGAACCCACUAGUACCUUCUUCCGGGGUCGAGCCCAUUUGCCUUUGAGAAAAUCCCAAUGAGGGCGCAGCUCAGAGCGCUUUAACUCAAGCAGAUCAGACUUGUCAUCCUCACACCUCAUUACAACCCCGACCCACCAAACAUCAAUGUAAGAGGCGUCUAUGACGUCGGCAGGCUCAAAGGGCUGGUCAGGAUUGUCAGUAGGAGGAGGCACUGGGCGGAUGGAGCGCGCGUGAACGAGCUCAAUAUGUGGCUUGUUUGGGUCAUCGUCCGAGGCCAGAGUCUCGUACUGCAGACCCUCAGAUCCCUCAACAAAGAAGAAAAUGAAGAAGGCUGGGAACCAUGCACCUCUGUAAGUUAACCCUCUUCGUUGCUACAAACUUCGACCUUCUAAUCCUUGCUCAGAUGCGCUUCGCUCCUCCUCCUCCGCUUCACCAUCACUUUCUUACUUGUUUUCGCUCACUUUCUUUCUCUAGAGGAAAAAACACUACUGCUACUAUAUUUACUAGUGUUUUGGUAGCAGGGCGGUCAAAUUGCAGGACUCUCUCUCUCUCUCUCUCCUCAAAUUGUGCAUAUCUUAUCCCUGGUGAAAUGAAACGACUGAUGGUAAAUUUGAACGAUAUUUUAUUUUUCGUCUGAAUUUGAACGAUUUGUCGUGUCAAUCAAGUUUCCUUGGAAGCCACAGUACGGAGAGAGUUAUUGUCGGAUUGGAUGUUCUGGUUAUCCCGAAGAUAUACCCAAAAACCCAAAGAUAUACAUUUUGUUGGACCGUCCCACCUUUAUACCAGAGAAUAUUCAUUUUGUUGGGCGGUCCUCCCUUUAUACCAAAGGAAAUAUAGGAAUGUUAGGAACCUCUUUUUUAGACAUUCUUAUCAUGAAAGUGAUAUCAUCAUUGGGAAAAAAAAAAAUUUAACUUUCAAUUUUUAUUUUUUUAUUUAAUUUUUUAACAAGGUAGUGAGAAAGUUGUAAAAAAAAUUAGCUUGUUUUUAAAAAAGAGUUAAUACAUUCAAUAAAGGUAAAUUUGGAAAACAAAAACUAGUUGUGUGAUGCAUUAAUGACAUUGUUUUAAGUGUAAGGAAAGUGACACUUAUCAUGAGAAGAAUGGAGAAGAUCCAAAAGAGAAGUUAGAGAGAAGAUUACUAACAUUCCACAAGAAAAUAUUUGAAUAAAUACUUCCCAAACCACCAAAUCCCCUUCAAGAUCUCUCCCCUCAAUCAAUUUACUACCUGCGUCGCGCUCUACCAUGUCAAAUCUCAAAUGCUGUCAUAUGAAGCCGAUCAAAUUCUUAGGCCAUCAUGAGUCACAUUGUAAAAAUUCAGACAUUUUUAUAGAAGAAAAUAACAUUGAAAAAUUAAAAAUAGCACUUUCAUUCCUAAUCAAUUGAUCAAAACACAAAAUCCUAAAAUCAAUUAAUUAAAACAUAAGCCUUAAUCAAUUAAUGAAAAAAAAAUGCUAUCAAUAAACUUUAAUCAAAACACAAAUCUCAUCCAAUAAAACAAACCAUAAUUUCGCAUAUAUUAUCAUCAAUUGGCAAUUAGGGUAUAAAAUUUAGGAAGCUUUCAUUUUUUUUUUAAAAAAAAAAAAUCAAAGAGUAAGAAACUUUCAUUCCAACCAACAAAGGUACAAUUUGCAAACAAAACAGGAUGCAAAAAAGAAAUGGCAUCAUUAAAACCUUGUCAUAAAAAACCCCCAAUAGAGGAAAUCCGAUCAAGAAAAAAAGAGUACCACAACAUCCGAAAGUAAUAAAACUACCCACCCUCCAUGUCUAUUACCAACAUUGAUACUAGCUAGUAAGGAGCUAAACCAUCCUAGAAAGAUGGACGUUGUUCUCGCAAUCCAAAUUGCGCCAUAGAAUGGGCUACUCAAUUCCCCAAUCGCGGUUGAAAACAAACAUCAACAAUACGCAACUGCACCAUCAACCUUCUAGUGUCGUCCACAAUAUUUCCCAAAUUACUCCAUAGCUCACCAUCACCCUUCAGUAAAGCCACCAUUUCUUGCAAGUCGGAUGCUACCAAAAAACUAGAUAGUCCCAACUCGACAGCCUUCAUCAAACCUUGUGUAUAUCAACACAUUCAGUAGCCAAAACAUCCAAACCUGCUGGAACCUUAUCUGCAAACCCCAAAAUAAAAUUACCCUCAGAGUCCCUUAAGACACCACCAACCCCUCAAUUACAACCUUCUUUUCCAAGAGCUCCAUCACAACUCAAUAACAAAAGAGAAGAAUGAGGUUUAAUACCUAAUAAAAUGUGGCACCCUUGCUGGCUUAGUGUGAGCAUUAUGAAUUUUGAACUGCUCCAAAAACUCCAUGGUCCAUUCAACGACCUCAGUAAGCCCAUGAACUUCCUUUCCGUAGAGCACAUCAUUGCGGAGCUUCUAAACUCUCCAACAACAGCACACAAACCGUUCCAAAAUCGCUUGAUGAAAAUUACAAUGCCACUUCAAAAUUACAUCAAAAUUACACACAAUGCCACUUCUUCUAAGGAAAGCACAUUAGAGCAACUCCACCCCUUAGGGCAAAGUCUAAGGCAAGGGCAAGCAAGGGCUGACACUAUUCACAUGAAUAGUGUCAGCCUUGCCAUUUGUGGUUCCACCCACAAGGGCAAAGUCUAGGGCAAAUCUAGGGCAAUUACUAUUCAUUGUACUUUAUUUCCUAUUUUUUUAUACUUUAAAUCAUUAAUUUUGAUAAUCUUUUGUAAUUAAAUUUUCGGAUAAGAUUUUCGGAUGUGAAUCUCGGUUGCCACGUGUCUUAUUCUAGAUAAAAUUUUCGGAUAUUCAUUAAUAAAAAUUAUAAUCUCAGAUUUCCGAUAAAAUUUUCACCCUCUAAAAUUGUGCCACGUGUCCCAUGUCAGAUAAGAUUUUCAGAUAUUUUUAAAAAAUUAUAAUCUCAUAUUUCAGAUAAGAUUUUCACCCUCUAAAAUUGUGCCACGUGUCCCAUGUCUGAUAAGAUUUUCAGAUUUUUUUUUACAAAUAGUGAUCUCAGAUUUCAGAUAAGAUUUUCACCCUCUAAAAUUGUGCCACGUGUCAUCUCUAUCUUCUGAAUCCCUCUAUAUAACUACACCAUCAACACCACUCCUCUCACACCAUCUCUGAUUUAUUCCUUCAUUUCUCAGAUUUUACAAAACACAUUAUACUCUCAAUGUCAAACUUCAGGAGGGUGUUGGAGAGGCAACAGAAAGAAUGGGAAGAAAUCCGGCGUAGACGUGAGGAAGAAGAUCGGGACGCCGAUGAAGAAGAGGAAGAAAUGCUUGAAGUAGCGGCGGUGUGUAUGAUGAAUCAAUCAAGCCAACACCAUCGUCGUCGUGCCCCGAAUGUGGACAGACACAGAGAGUCUCGGGGUAAGAAUCUCUUGGAGGAUUACUUUAUCCCAAAUUCGUUAUAUCCUGCUCAUAAGUUUCGAGAGAGAUAUAGAAUGCAGCCACAUUUGUUCCAAAAAAUCAUGCAUGAUAUUUGUAAUUACGACACAUACUUCAUUCAAAAGCAUGAUGCUGUUGGAGUUUUAGGUCUUAUCCCGGAGCAAAAACUUACAGCUGCUUUGCAGAUGCUUGCUUAUGGGGCAUCUGCAGAGCACGUGGAUGAGAUUGCAAGGAUGGGAAAAUCUACUAUCCUAGAGUGCCUGGUGAGAUUCUGUGAUGCAGUGAAAAAUUUGUACACGAGGGAGUACCUUCGCAAACCCACUCCGAGGGACCUGCAAAGGCUUCUACAAAAAGGCGAGGCUCGAGGUUUCCCAGGAAUGAUCGGAAGCAUCGAUUGCAUGUAUUGGCAGUGGAAGAAUUGUCCUACUACGUGGCAAGGAGAGUAUGGGAAUUGGAAGGGCCAAAAAAGUAUCAUUUUGGAGGCCGUAGCUUCAUUCGACACUUGGGUUUGGCAUGCCUUUUUUGUGGUUGCCGGAUCUCAGAAUGACCUCAAUGUCCUUGGUCAAUCCCCGGUGUUCGACGAGGUAUUGCGAGGUCAUUCCCCUCAGGUCACAUACCAAAUCAACAAUACCGUAUACUCUGGUGCGUACUACCUUGCCGACGGAAUUUAUCCUAGGUGGACGACAUUUGUGAAAACAAUUCCGAAUCCCCAAUCCGAGAAGGAAAGAAGCUUUGCUUCCUUUCAAGAAGGUUACAGGAAAGACGUGGAAAGGUGUUUUGGUAUCUUGCAAGCUCGUUGGGCAAUUAUCAGGGGUGCUGCUCGGAUACUAGACGAGGAGGUGCUGAGGAGUAUUAUGAUGACUUGCAUCAUCCUCCACAACAUGAUUGUGGAGGAUGAGUAUGACUACGAUGCUCCAGAGGUGUUUGAACCCGAUCCUAUGAACAUGGUAUUGACAAGAAUAUAUGAAAGGCCGAUGGGACCAAAUGGACUACCAAUGGAGCCCGAACCGUUAGUUCAGGAUGGUCGAUUCAACAACCCCAUGAUUGAUCGUUAUCAAGAAAUGCAAUCUUCAUAUGUUCACGAAAGACGUCAAGUUGACUUGAUCGAGCACUUGUGGCAGAUGAAAGGCAAUCACAAUGGAUGAAGGCUAGAUUCGUGCUUUGUUUGGAAUUAUGCUUUGUUUUUAAUUAUGCUUUGUUUUUGUGUGUUGUGUUUUGUGGAAUUAUUGCAAGGUCUUUUUUAUUAUUAUGCUUUUAUGUAUGGUUUGUUUUGUGUGUUGUUUGCAAUAAAUGAAGGUUUGUUUUUAAUUAAUCUUUGUGAGGAAUGCUCAAAUAUUUUUAAUAAUACAACAUUAGAGAAUGCUUUUUUGAUUGAAUAAAAAAGAAACAAUACAACAAAUUAAAGGAUAAUACAACAAUUUAAAAAAAAUACAACAAUUAUAAAAAAAUACAACAAUACAAUCUAAUGGUUUUCAUCAUUUAGCCAAUCCGUAUUGCUAGGUCCGUAGUCAUGGAAAAGUUUUCUUCUCAUCACAUCCCUUCGUUUAUGCUUCCAAUAGGCCUUUGUUUCAGAAGACAUAUGGCUCGUAUCCAUGGCCAUCAUUUUCAUCUCUCUUUCAUCGUCGUCUUUUUCUUUUGCAUGUUGCUUUUCAAUUGCAAAGGCUUCCAAUCGUGCCUUGUCCGCUUCAUCUCUCCUCAAGUCUCUCUCCAAUCUUAGAGAGUUGUUCUUAGCUAUUUGCUCGAAUAUUUGAACACAAUCAAUGUUCGAAGUGGCCCCUCUCUUGGCCUUUGCCGCCUUUCUCCCAAUAGGUCUCGGCGGACGUGGGAGUGGUGACUCCGUUUCCAUUGGGGAGUCUAAUGGCGAAUCGGUUGAUGGCGAUUCGUGGAGCGGCGUCUCAUGCAACACAACCGGGGGUGCGGUAGGAAUAAUUUUGAAUCUGGAACAAUCCUUGACAAUUUCCCAACAUUGGAAAUGCACAAAACUUUUUUUCCCUUACCCCGUGGCACCGAACCACAUUUGUGCUUGUAUGAUCUAUUCAAAAUAAAUAAUUGGAAGUGCAUUAAAAAAAUAUACAAUGCAAUAAAUUAUAAACUAUUUUGAAAUGCAAGAAUAAAAUUGAUUAUGUAAAUAAAUAUAGACAAAUUGAAAAUGCAAAAACAAAAAUAAAGAUUAUGCAUGAAAUUAUAAACUAUUUUGAAAUGCAAGAAUAAAAUUGAUUAUGUAAAUAAAUAAAGCCAAUUAGAAAAUACAAAAAUAAAAAAAACAUUGUGCAACAAAAAAGAAAUAGAAUAUGCAAUAAAAAAAAGUUAUCCCAAAUUGAUUAAAAUGGCAAUUAAAAAUAUUUUACCUCAUCGGAAAGAUUCGCACCGCUCCGAAUGUUCCCCUUUGUUUUUGUCAAGGCAUUUCUCCAUUUCCCUAACUCUUUGUUUAGAAUUUUCCAUCUACUAGACAAAGCCAUUUCGGUCCGAAUGGAACCCGAUCUUUGACAAAAUUCUCCAUGAAUUUUGCUCCACAUAUGAUGGAACUUCAUCUCAUUGCCCGUGAUAGGUUCAUGACUAACGUUCACCCAAGACUGGCACAACGCAAUAUCUUCCUGGGUUGACCACGAGCCUCCGAUUUCAACAGAAGAUGCCAUUUGUUUAUUUUCUACAAAUGGAAAGUAGUACAAAAAUGUGAGUGGAUAGUAAAAAAUAUUGGAAGGAGAAGAGUUUGUAUGGAAUUGGUGUGGAAAGUGGAAAAUAUGAGCAUAGAGUAAAAAAUAUUGGAAGGGGAUGAGUUUGUAUGGAGAUUUGGUGUGGAAAAUGAAUUAUGUGAGUGGAGAGUAGAAAAUAUUGUAUGGAGAAGAAAUUGUAUGAAGAUUUGGUGUUGAAAGUAGAUAAAAUGGUUAGGUAUUUAUAGGGAAAAAAUACAUACAUUUUUCGUAUUUUUUUUAAAAAAAUUUCAGAAUUUUUUCGAAUUUUUUCGGAUUUUUUUUAAAACCGUAGGAUUUCUGAAAAAAAAUCCAAUCGGAGCCACCCGGUGCCGACACGUGGCAGGUAACCGUUGGUGCUGACGUCAGCUGAACUCGGGCUCGAGCCCAGUCAAUUUUCGCCCUUGGGCCUGCCCGGGCUCGUGGGACCCGCAGCUUGCCCGGGCUGCAUUGCUCGCGCUGGAGCUGGACUUGGGCUGAUUUUUGCCUUUUGCCUGGGCCAACCCCUGGCGCUGUACAUGCUCUUAUGCCACAUGUCCACCUCCGGCAAUCCACCUUCCGGCCAGCCGCCACUAUGCCUGCUGCCGGCCAAUAACCCCCACCUAUCGCCGGCCAACCGGGGACCAACUCCGUUGCCCUUUAUUCACCCUAAAAAAUUAAAAGAUUUUGUAUCAUUGAAGGGAAUCAUCAUCAGUUUCCAGUAUUUUCAUUUAGACACAAAUUGUUGAUAGAACUUACCCAUACUUCCAUUUAGAGAAAUUGUAUAUAAAGCUCAACAUGAAGGCAUCCGAUCCGAAUAAGCGAUCAAAACUAUGUCGAUCCUAUUCCCAGCCUGACAACCCCACAAACAAAUUCAAUUUCAAACCUCAAUUCCCAGCCCCAUUUUUUAUGUUUUUCUGAUCUCUUUUGUAUCAUGAGUGACUACCUUCAUCCUGUGAUUUGGCUUGAGCAAGUUUUGUUUCAUAAGCAGCUCUUGUUUGUUAUCUGCAAGUUUGCCUCCUUUGAACAAAAAAUAAAUAAAUGUCACACAUACAAGAAGCGUAUGUGGGCCAAACAUACAAUGGACAGUCGGAUUUUAUACUUGCUAGCAGAAGGGAUUGAAAAUAUAUUUAUGAGAAGCCAAUCAGUAAAUUCCCCUUUUAUCUUUAGCUUAACAAAUUAUCAUGACAAAAGUUCUUUCAAUUUCAAGUGAAGGAUGAUCUUACUAGCUUGGGUAUGUAUGUGUUACAACUCAGAAAUUAAACAUACUCAAAGGUAAUACUUCAACCAAAAACUGUUAAGAAAAAUUUGUAUGGUAAUGAGACUUUCUUUCAUGAAUCAUGUUGACAAUACUAAUGAGUUUCAUUUUUACGGGUAUUUUUUGUCUAAAUUUUUUUGAGACCCCGGAGGGGAAGAAAUAUUCCUAGAUUCGCCACUGAUCAUAUUUGGACUAUCUAAACAACAGAACAUAGCAGAGCAACCCUUCAAUGCCAAAAGAAUGCUGGUAGUCCACAACAAACACUUACAACCUCUCUUCUACUUUCUCCAUCUCCCUAAUUCUCUUUUGAAUUUUUGUUUCCCCUGCAUCAAACCCUUUAUCAAAUAACUCAGAUUCUCAAAACCUAAACCUAAAGAAAGAAAAAAGAAAACAUGCGAAAAAUGUCCAAAAGCUUCCCAUUCUUCUGGAUGCGUGGGCUGUGAAAACCUCUACCAAGCAAUCCUUUGAGAAUCCAGAAGCUCACGUAGGUUAGAGCAUCAAGAACACAAAAGAUGGGUUUUUCGUAGUCCAUUCGCUCUGUUUUCAGUUUUGUUUUCGCUUCCAGUUGUGGCUUCCAAGGAAAAAAAGAGUUUCGCAGGAAAAAGUUGUGUUAAUGAGUUUUUUUUAACCAUAAAAGGAAUUCUUAUGCACAUUAUAUUAGUUUGACCAAAUUAUAGAACAAGGGCAAACAUGAAACCAGCAGCCAUGGUUUAAGACACGGGCAGAGCAGGCAGACGCAAAGGCACCGCUACCUCUACAGCAUUGGUUUUAAAACAAAGAACUCACAGCAGCCACCCAAAGCCGGCUGCAGCACAUGAACAGCAGCUAAUUCCUCGGGGCAAAGGGGGAUCUGAAAAUUGGAAAAUCCCCAUGGAAGAGCUGGUUUUGAUCCCCUUGGAGGUGUGGAUGUGCCGUAAAAAUGUACGCCCACCAAUCCCACAGCCACCCACCUCCCCCACACAGCUAGCUACCCCACUCCAUUCACGCACCUCCACCCAAAGGCAGAUAACAGCCAGAGCCUCACCAAAGCCAUCCUUCACUGAUAUCAAGGCAGUUACUUGAUGAUUUUUGAAUUAGGGAUUGAAUGUUAUUGUAAUAUAAUGUGAAUUGAAUUGCUGUUUUGAGUAUAAUGGUUAAGUUUCAGAAUGGUGAUGAUCAUUUUUUUUUUACUCUGAUUUUUUUUAUGGGUUUUGAUGAGUUGCUGUGGGGUUUUGAUGGGUUUUUUUCCACUCAAAUUCACAUAGAAUUCUACAUAUUCACCUCCAUGGAAUACAUAAACAGUACACAGUAAACACAGUGUGAUGAUGAAUAUAAAACACCAAACUCAGUGAUAAAACUAAACUAAAAAUAAAAAAAAUAAAAAUAAAAAAAUUUAAACAAUCUGAAUGAGAUGAGAUUAGCAGGGGAUUUGAGAAGUGAACCACUCCAUCACAUGAAUUGGGGCUUUGACCAACUCCAGAGCCAACUCCACGACCACCGUCACGCACAAACAGCACGGGCAUAUGCAAGUCAGCAACAAUCUACACCCAAAAAGAAAAUUACCCCCACCCAAAAUUAAAAACAAAAAAACCAAUCAGAUCCAAACUUCAAAAUCAACAAGCUCCAGGCACUACGAACUAUCAGAUUGCAUAAAAAUCACAUAAUUUCAAAAACCCAUAUAAUCAAAUUGAAUGAAACCGCAUAACAAGUUAAGAACCAAGAAAAUUAGAGAUUGCCCAGAUGACCCAUAUGCCUGAAAAUCAAUUGAAUUGAGAAAGGCAGAAGGAAUUGUACCCGACGAUCCAGAUAACGAUGCCGACGAUGGAGAGGACGAGGGAGAGGAGAGCAAAAGGAAGGCCGAGCAGAAAGCCCAGAGGCCUGCAAUCACCUUCUGAAGAGCACAUUUUCUCUCACUUUCUUUCUUCUUCUUUUUUUCUGGGAUUUUGGUUCUUCAGCAGCAACUGCUUGAGAGUUGAGAGAGGAGAAUGGAGAGAGACUUGUUAAGUAAUGGGAGACGGCACACGUUGUGUGUUGUAUUGUUGGAAGUUUCUUGUGCUUUUCUAUUUUCUUUUACCAACGCAACCAGUGGGAUAUGCAUGAUUACGAAAAAUCUGUAUUGGUUUUCAAUUAAAAAAUAUUUAAAUAUUUAAAAACAUAUCUAAAGCAUCGAAUCUUUUACCUUUUCUUUUCCUAACAGGAAUCUUUUACAUUUACCCUAUAUACUUUCGGAAUAAAGUUUUACUUUCUAAACCAUGUAUUUUUAAAUAAUAAAAAGAGUGACUAUUAUUAUGUUUUUAAAAAAAAUUAUCCACUCAUAUUUUGUAACAAGAAAUAUGGAGUUUUUUUCUUUUUAAUAUAAGUGAUAGUCUAAAUUAUAAGGGGAUGAACAGUUUUUCACACACACAUUACUAAGGAUGGAAAAUACCCUUGUCGGGUCCUCAACCCUAACAAGAGAAGAUUUUGAGGAAAAAUUGGGCCCGGGCACGAAGAUCCCCGAAUUUUAAAAAUUCCCGAUCAGGUAUAGGCCGGAAUGAUAUUGUUAUCCCCAUACCAGAAUAAUUUACAUAUAAGAUUACUAUGUAUUAUUAUAAUAUAAUCAAUAAAUAUAUAAUUUAAUAUUUAUUUAGUUUUCUAAAAUUAAAUUGAGAUGAUUGUGAGCAGUUUUAUUGAAUUUUAUAGGUUAAUUAAAUGUGAUUGAUAGUUUAAGUUGAAAUAAAUGUUAUAAUGUAGGAUAAAUAUUUUUUUUAUAAAAAAUAUAUGGAAUUCAAGCCGGGUUUGAGAGAAAGCCUCUCGACAGGACGAGGAGGAGGAUUCCCCGAAAAAUAUUAUUGGGGAUGAGGCACGGGGGCACAUAUAAGGAGUUGAGACGAGGAUAAUAUUGUCAUAUUCGACCCCAAACCGUUAUGUUAUCAUCCCUAUCAAAGUGUCAUGAAAUUUAAAUCUAAGACCAUCAAUUUAAAAGUUAAUUUCUUUUUCCACUAACUUAAUCCCGUCUUCUUCGAUAUAUGAAGUUAAUAAUGCGAACCUCGACAAAUUGGGGGGGGAGACUGCGCCUUAUCCCUGACUACAAUCAUCAAAAGCGAGAGAAUCCGCGUGUUACUGUGGCUCGUAGUAUUUUGACGUAGCAAAUAAUUUCACAGCAAUGACGAUGUGCCAGGUGAACUGAAAGAUGUCCAUAUGGGCUGCCACCUGGAAAAGUAGGUUGUAGUUAAAUAGAUGUCUAUAUGACCUUUUUUUUAUAUUCUUUUUUCAUAUUCUCAAAUAGACAUUUUUGUGUGGUGCCAAAGAAAAAGACUUAUGAGAUGUUUUGUCAACAAAGCUAGUGUGGCGGUGAGCCCAUGAUUCCUUAGCGUGUCGUAUUAAAUGAAGAACAGAUGUGCAAAGCAAGUUUCAGAAGAGAAGUCGCCUACGCGUGUAGGUAGCGAUGCGAGAGGUGAUUGCAAUAUUUGCAUCUCCUAUGGCUAUGUGAGCCAUGUGCUACACUAUGCAUCCCACCACGUUUUAAUUCCGAUUCUCAUUAUUUUGGCCAAUUUCUUUGACCGGCUUGGAUGCCAGAAAAGAAAAGGAGAGAGAACUUCUAUAAUCGUACAUAUAACAAAUGAAUGUACAAAAUUUACAAGAAAAAACUAUAAUGGUGAAGCAUCUUAACAAAAACAAGAAAGAAAAAAAAAACUACAACUGUGACCCAGAAGUAGACAAGAAUUUGACAACAGCUUUUGUACUUGAAUUUUUCUGUUGAGCAGAAAAAGAAAGAAAUUGAAGAUGAGGGUAAAGAUAAUAACUCAAAAGUAUGUGCACUUUUCUAGAUCUGGUAUGAUGUCGCUUUCUCUCUUCUCUAAACAUGCCAAAUUAGGUGAUGCCCUGAAGAAAAAUCAGCAAGAUAGGCAACUGGGUUGUAAUGCUUCUUGCUAACACACAUGAAAGAAAGAAAGUGUGCAACCAUAUACGAGGAUAUGCUUCAUACCAAUUGCUCGGAGACGAAAACAUUUGCUGAAGCAAAACAACUAAGGCCUGUUCAAACUUGAGUUCUCACUCUCUAUGGAAAUUAUGGAAGCAAGCCUAUCAUAAACCUGAAUGAUAGUUGAGAUGUUAAGAGUAUCCAUUUGCCAAAGGAUAAAAGAUAAAUAAUAAAGUUCUGAAAUUAGUUCCACGGAGCAUGUAAUGCUAGGAUCACAUACCUCCGUAAGCUUCCCAGUUUUAUCCUUUUUCUUAUUCUUAUCCUGGUCAUUUGUAGGUAAGUCAUACCUGUAGAGGAGAUGAAGCAAAUUGUUAUGAUUCCAUGAACAUAUAUUUUUACACAUGCAGACUAGAACGAGAAUUUAAGUCAUUUUUCAAAAAGAUAUAACAAAGUUGAACUUGAUAUUAAUAGUGACAUUUUGUACAAAAACUCUUCCUAAUUAAUACCAAUCCAAAGAACUGCCAAGAAAUACAAUUUGCCCACCAAUCACGAGGAAUUCCAGCCUCAUCACGAGCAGAAUAAUUGAAGGGCCCUCUCAACUCCACAUUAUACUCUUUUAACAAGUCUGCAUGGUUAUUGUAAAAAAUCCGUAUAAUGAUCAACCUUGCUCUAAGAAUGUAGUAGGACAAUAGAUGAGAAUAUAUACACAGGAAAUAUGAAGGGAGAGCCAAACCUUUAAAUGCGGAAGAUGGGGUACAAUCCAUUUUCUGACAGACAUCAACAAACCAAUGGACUCCAACAGCCACAUGUGCAACUUCUUCAUCAGCAAUUCUAGCUACAAUGUCUGAUGUCCUGAGAUCUCCAAAGCCAACCAAUUUUUGCACAAGUCGUGGUCCAGCAUCUAGUCCUCGAGCUUCCUAAAACCAAGGAUUACAACAAAUAUAAGCUAAAGAGAAUAAAUCUGGACGAAACAAAGAUUAAAUUCUUUUCUUUUCUUUUCUUUCUUGCUUUCUCUUUGUCCUUUUUUUAAUGUGUGUGCAGAACACAUGUACACAUGUGUGCAUUCUUUUCUUCCCUUUCUUACCAAGGAGUCUGCCCUUAAAUUGGUUAAUAACAACAUGCUAAAAUGUUGGGGGAAAAAACUAAUGUUUCUUAAGUCAUCCAUCCUCAAAUUAACUAUAUAUCCAGAUGUUCAUGGAGUGACUGAUGAGGAAAUUAUCUUGCAAUCAAUCAACCAUCUCCAAUUUUUCUUGGUAUUAUAAACAGCACAAAAUCUUAGCUUUUAAAGAAGCAAAUGCCCAUCAUUCUUAACGAGUUAUCAAUGUUAAAAAAUAGCCUCAAGAAGUACGUGUCAGGUAAAUUAAUUGAAGGAAAACUAAGAGUUCAAGACAAUGCCAAUCCUGCCUGCAGUAAAGGCAAGUAGAUGCAACACAGUUAUGCGACACCAAACAUUAUCACAAAAUCAUUUGUUUGUGUGUCCGAUGUGCAUCACUAGAAAUCCAAAAUUUGGUCAUAGUAGCUAAAGGUAGAACAAGCAGCAGAAGAGUUUAUAUAAUAAAUCAGUCAACUGUUACAGCACUAAUCUAGGCUUCUCGCGCUUUCUUCCUAUAAUUUAGCUCAACAAUCCUCUAGACCUCACCAUAAUUUGACAAAAGUUCUACAGAUUCAAAAAAUUCAUUAUUCCAAUUUAUUUAUUUUCAAUUUUUGGAGCAGCCAUUGUUCUAAAAACCACGAACUUUUACAACUUGAUCCCAUGUAGUAUCAACCGUAUAGGCUUACACUUCCUCAACAUUCCAUACAAAUAUAUACAAAGGUCAUAAAGCUCUCUUUAUUUGGAGAAGAACAUAAUAAUUUUGAGAGAAAUUAUACACAAAACAUGUGAAUAUUAUCGAUAAAUACAUUCAAAUAAAAGUUUUCAAAUACUACAUACAUAUUAUAUAUAUAUAUAUAUAGGAUGAUCUCUUUCCAGAAUGUCUAGCAAAUCAAGACUGCAGAUUCAGACACAACUUAACCAAUUAAACUAUCCUGAUUGAUAGUCUGACAAGAUAACAACAUGUUACACAACAAAGCAAGAGAAACUGAUUGCAUAUACAUUGCACACAUGUGAAGAUUUUAAACUAUGCAACACUGCAAUUGGAGAUGUUGCCAAUCACCAGACAAUAGUCAACACAUAACAUUGGUAUUGAGGGAUGUCACAGAUUGUUAUCGCAUGGAAAAAACAACAUAUUUUUUCUUCAAGAAGUUUUAAUAAGGACAUUUUUCUCAACAGUUACAUUAUAUAUGGAUACCUAAGAUGCAAUGACAUGCAUCUCAGCUUGUUUAUGUCUGAUCUAUUGGCUGAGAAAAAUGUUGUUUUUUUAAAUAUUAGACAUAACAUAGGGUUUAUGGAUAUUACCUGGACUAGAGGGAUCACUGCCAAACGGGCAGCAACAUUUUCAGAUGAUUUCUCACACUCCCUCCAAAGCAGAUUAUGAGCAGGCAUGUCUCCAUAACUUGUCACAAAAGCAAAAUUACAAGUCAACCUAAGAAACAACAACCAAUUAUGUACCCAAAUUAACUACUCUCCUCACUUGAAACCAAGUUCAGCAAGUCUCUGAGAACACCAAGCAAAAUGGCGACUCUCAUCGUCAGCGACAUGAGAAAAGUCAGCAAAAAAUCCCUCCCCUAGAGUCUCACUAAAAGGUGAAAAACGAACAACAGUAUCCCAAGCCAAGUCAAUCGCAUUGAGCUCAACAUGAGCAAGAUUAUGAAGCAUAUAAGCAUUAAGAGGCAAACCCGAGUUCUUGGGAGCUGGAAUUUCUUUCGGGGAAACCUGAAUUCACAUAGUACAUGGCAAAAAUGAGUGCCCACAGAUGUGCAUAAGCAUUGUAUACAUCUUUAUAGUUUGUUCAGAAAAAAUUAAUAUAAAUUAAAACACUGGAAACAGGAAAUUUCCAUGAAAAAAUAUGCAAUACCCAAAAAAAUGUAUUUUUAAGGAACAGAGAAACAAACCAGUUGAGGUUUGAGAGGGCGAGCGGGUCGAGGAGGGGGUUCACACGAGCCAAUUGGAAGGUUCUCUAGGCGCCACCUGGAAAAAGCAAGAUGGGAAAGCUUGGAUUUGGCGAGAGGGUCACUGGUGGAGAGAACCAGAGCACCAAGCUCUGCAAGAGAGGAAACUGAUGACACCAUUGGACAGUCAUCGCUGUUAAGAGAAGACGGCUGUGACUGCAGCGGCUGAGGUUUUGGGCCUUUGGGUCCCCAGCAACGAUUCUCAUUGAGUGGGGACUCUCUCCAGGUUUGCAGACCUGUCCAAGGUGAACAUUGCAAGGAAGAAGAAGAAGAAGAAGAAGAAGAAAAGGAGUUGAUUUUGAGGCAGAAUAAGAAAGGGACAUGGGAGCACAAGGAGCGUUGUAAUGUUGGAGAAAGCAUGGGUUUCAGUUUCAGACGCUGCAUUUCAUUUCAUGUGAAUGCCGCUGGUGCUGACCUCCCAUUCUUAUAGGUCCGUUUGAUGCUUGUUGAUGAACUUUCUGGUCUGUUUGUUUGGGCCUGGUUUUGGCAUUUUUAUUUGCUGGGAUUGGUUUUCUAUCGCCCAAAGCCCAUAAUUGUUUAAUUUUUUUCGUCUCUUAUUUAGUUAAUGAUGUAAAGUCGCAUGUCAUGAGAUUUGUGGUUCAAGUGGUUAAGAGCAGUUACCAUUGCACCCAAGAUUCUAUAUUACAAUCACCCCUCAAUAUCGCUCGUAUUCAUUAAAAAAAGAAUUGAUGCAAAGUCACAAGAAUUUUGUUUGCACUAGGGUUGGGCACGACGUCGUUUGGUUUAGUGUUGGGUGAAACUAGAAAUUUUUGUAGGGGUGGGCUGUUUUUGUUUUUGUUUUUCUUAUGGGAGAUAUGUUAUAUUACUUAUUGUUCUUAAAACAAUCAAGUUCAUUCACAUACCGAACAAAUAUAAUGCAAAGAAGUACAUAAUAUAUGUAAAACAUCAAAUUAAACACAUGGUCACACAUCAAAUUAAACACAUUGUCAAACAUCAAAUUAAACACAUAUUGCCAAACAUCCAAGUGAAGUAGAACUCUAAGCUAUUUGAGUUUCUCAAAAUCUGUGAUUAUUGAAUCUAAAUCAAUAUCCAUAGAAAGUUCUUUCUUAAUGUAGACAAUAAGGGAAUCUAUCAAGUACUCAUCCUCCAUCUUGUUGCGAAGUACAAUUUUAAUAUGUUUCAUAGUUGAAAAUGUUCGUUCUGUAGUCGCCCUAAAAACUGGAAGAGUUAACACUAAACAAAUCAACAUAUCAAUCAAAUAAUAUGUCUGUGCUCUAUUUGUUUGAGUUCAUCAUUGAUAUAGUUCAGAAAGAGUAGACAUAUUUUGAAAGAUAUCAAGAUGUACUUUAGACUAAAAAAGUUCUAGUUGAUACCUCAAUAAAUGUAAGUCUUUUGAAGUGAAAUCUCUUGGAUAAAAUUUCUCUGCAAGCUUAGAAAUAUCAUCAAUUUUAAAUGCUUUAAAAUCAUUGCUAGGGUCCAAAGCAGAGCUAAGAGUAAGAAGUUCUAUUGUUCCAUUACUGAAUCUAGUGUUUAACUCUUCCAAUUGAUAAUCUAUGGUAUCAUUGAAUAAAUCAACCUGGUAGUGAUGUUCAAUUGUAAUAUCAUCACGUUUUUUACAAGAACGAUGUGUACCAAUUUUGUAAAGAGCAUUCAUAUAUGGCAUAUCAAUGUCAUGUUUUUUGCAAAAUGAUUCCACUUCCUCAAAGAAAAUAUCCCAACCACUCAAUCUUAAUUUCUUAAGAACAUCUUUUGUACUACGAACUAAAUUCAUAGUAGUCAAGAUAUCUUGAAAUUUAUUUUGUAGUGCUCGGCAAAGGCCAUUAGUAACUCCCAUCAUUUUUUCCAACAAAUGCAAGACAAAUAUGAACUUAAAAGAUAUCAUCACUUUGAAAGUACUAGUAGCUUCCUUGCGUAUAGAGUUAGUGGCUCCAUCCUUAGUUAAGGUCUCAACCACUAAACAAGAUGCAUUAUACAUAUAUACCAAGUCCGCAAUAGAAUCUUAAUGAGAACCCCAACAAGUAGCUCCAAGCCGAAGCAAGGUACCAAUUCGAUUAGCCCCUCUACUUAUGUCACGUUCACCAAUAUCCAGCAUAUGUGCAAUAUCAGUUGCUUGAGUAGAUUGUAACUCGCCAUGGCACUUAGGAGAAGCAGUAAUAAGAUUGAUAAUAGAAUUCAAGGUUGAAAAGAAUAGCCAAAUAAGAGUAACAUCUUUUGUUGCUGCAACUAAUGUUAACUAUAGUUUGUGAGCAAAACAAUGUACAUAAUAUGCAUAAGAGCAAUCUCUAAGAAAUAAUGCUUGUAAUCCAUUCCAUGCACCUAGCAUAUUGCUAGCACCAUAAUAUCUUUGACCUCGCAUUUUAUCAAUUUGGAGAUCACAAUUAAUUAGGACUCGAGAUAUCUCUUUUUUAAGUGUUGAAGAACUAGUGUCUUCAACCCUCACAAUCUCAAAAAAAAGUUCUCAUACAAAACCAUCUCUAUCAACAAAUCUUAAAACAGUGACCAUUUGCUCUCUGUUAGAGCACCUCCACCCCAAAAGGAAAGGGCAAGGUAAGGGCAGACACUAUUCACGUGAAUGGUGUCAACCUUGCCUUUUUUGGUUCCACCCCAAAGGGCAAGAGCAAUGACAAAUACUAUUCAUUUUACUUUAUUUUCUAUUUUUUAUACUUAAACCAUUAAUUUUGAUAAGCUUUUUAGAUAAUAUUUUCGGUUGUCACAUGUCACUAUUUAUUAUAAAAUUCUCACUUAAAAUUUCAGAUAACAUUUUUCGGAUAAAAUUUUCAGUUGCCACGUGUCCAUAUUUAUGGUAGAAUUCACAUCUCACUCAUCAUACAAUUGAAAUACCUACUCACUCAUCAUACAAUUGAAAUAUUCUCGGUCCUCAUAGUCCGACAAUGAAGUAUAAGAACGACUCAAUCAUUGGCGGAGGCGGUUCCACCGGAUCACGACGCGGGGGAGUAUUUUUCUUCAGAGGACGUAAUAGUGCCAUUAUUUCAGACAGAACAUACCACUGGAAUGGACUGCGGGCAUUGUUCACUUGAGGAUUUUUGUUUUGCCUUGACUAAUCUAUUAAAAAAAUGAAAUUGGAAAUACAAGAAAAAAAAAUAUAUAUAUAUAUAAAAAGACAUUGAAUUGAAUAAAACGGAAAUUAAUUUUUUUUAACUCGUUGCCAAGAUUUUGACCUCUUCGAACAUUUGGCCACGACCCUCCGGCUUUGAUGUAAGUGGUCAUAUUUAUUUUUGCACAUAUGAAAUUUUGUAGUAGAAAUUUUGGUGUGGAAAGUGAAAAUAUUGGAAGGAGAUGGGUUUGUCUGAAGAUUUGGUGUGGAAAGUGAAUAAAAUUGUUAGGUAUUUAUAAAAAAAAUUCAGAAUUUUUGAGUAUUUUUUUCGAAUUUUUUUGCAAUUGUUUUAGCCAAAAAAAUCAAGGCUGUAGGAUUUCUGGAAAAAAUUGCAUCGGAGCAUCCAGGAAGCACCACGUGGCAUAUUCCCAUUGGGGCCUGUCAAUGGUGACGUCACGCUGACGUCAGCACCUUCGGACAAAAGCCCAGGCAAGAUCUGCCCGUUGGCUUGCCCGGGCUGGUGGGACCCAGGGCUUGCUUGGGCUCAUUUUCCUACGCUGGAGUUGGAUUUGGGCUGGCCGGGGGCCUGUUGCCUUGGCAGGGCUUGUGCGCUACACUUGCCCUUAGAUGUAUCUAUUGCUUCAUCAACAAGAAUACAAUAAGUCGAUUCCCCAACUUACUUGCAAAUUUUAGUUCUCGCUUUGUCAGCGAGAAUAUGCAAAAUCUCAUUUUGAAUAAAUAGUGAGGUAUAUUUAGCAUUUCUUAGGGCAUUCUCUAAAAUAACUUCAGCAACUUUAUCAUUCCAAUGUGCUAUAUAUUUUUUUUAUCAAUUCAAUGAAAUUUCCUCGAUUAAUUGAGUCUAUGGAUUCAUCAUGACCUCUAAAAGCACAUGCCUUUAGCUGUAACUGAUUCUUCCAAAUUUGCUCUUUUGGUUGUUUGUAAAUAACUUUCUCAAUGUUUUGAGAUGAUUUCAUUAAAUCUUCAUCACAUCUUACACAAGUAUUAUGUGGUGAAGAUGGACCUCUAACAUGUUGCAAAAAUGCACAUUUCUUUCCAUCAUUCACUCUUUUCCAAUUAUUGAACCCUUCAGUAAUUAGUGAAGACCCAUUUUCCUGGAUUCUUUUCAAACACAAAGCAUGGUAAACAAUAUAUCUUAUAUGUUAUAGGAGAAUACUAACUAUGAAAAUUGUGAGAACCAAGAAUAUUGAAAUCGACGUCUUUGUUGACCGAAUAAAGUCCUUGGAUACUCAAAAAAUUUAGGUUGAUAAGGCCCUAAUUUGGCAUAAACCCUUCGAAUCUCAUCACACUGAUUAAUGGGGUGUUCACAAAUUGGAAUAUGUUUCCUUGGAUCUCGUUUUAAAGAACUAGUGUCAAAUUGAAUUGAAGUAUCAAUAUUAGAUGCAAAAGAUGUAUUCUUAGUAUCAAGAUUAGAUGCAGAAGGUGUAUUCUCAUUAUCAUUACCACUUUUUCCAAAGAAUGAAUGAAUAGUCUUUCCUCUCUUCGCCGGUCUAUUAUCAUCAUGUAACAUUAUAUCCUAACAAAAAAAAUAUUAUACACCAACAAUCAUAUAUAUAUAUAUAUAUAUUCUUACAGUGAGAACCAAAAAUACAUCUAUAAUCAAUGCAUAUAAACAAUAACAACUUAAUUACUCUAUGAAAUAGAACAUUUAUCAAUUGAAAUCUUGCAUAUAUAAAUAUUGUUGUCUCUUUUCUUGUUGCUCUAAGAAUUCCUAAAAUUUAACUCUCAAACCUUAAAAAUUUAACAGUAACAAUUCAAAUUUAGAAUUAAAUAAGAAGAAAGAGACAAACCUACCAAUACUUUGUUUCGAAGCCCUCUUCUUUUUGGGGUUUACUAUUGUUGUCGUGAUUUUUUUUAUUGUUUUGAAGCCCUCUUGUUUUUUGGGAGGUUUAAUGAUAUGCUAACAUUUUAAUGAUUGUUGCCCUAAUUGAUGAACCCACCGAACAAGAGCAGCAUGCAUGGGUUGGGAAAAAAAAAUAGAAGUUUCAUAUUCCUUUCCUCUCUUUUUUAAUCUUGCUGUAAAGGUACUUUUGUUUGGCCUUAUUCCUUUGUGUGGGUUGAGAAAAAAUAAAGUGUUGUGUGGUGCUAGUGGGCUAAUAUUUAAUUAUAAUAUAUUUGUUUAUACAUUGAAGCUUAAAUUAGAAACUUAGCACCAUGCUACAACGAGCCCUUUUCUUAGUUUCGCCUUUAAACUCAUCACCCAACCGACCAUGUUGACUAUAAAGAUCGUUGGACCAACGUCGACCUGAGAUGAGACGUCAUCAAGCACGUAUGUCCACCAAGAUUUACAUCUUGGUUCGGUUGGUUUCAAUGAGGCAUGAGGCGAAGGAGCAGUGAUCAUUGACUGAGUUGGCUGCAAGUCCUACAAGGUGGAGCUAGGAUAGAGGCGAGAUCAACGAGGAAGAAGGCCACCAAGACGAAAAGCCUACGCAAAAUGAAAAUGAGAGAGAGAGAGAGAGAGAGAGAGAGAGAGAGAGAGAGAGAGAGAGAGAGAGAGGCUACGAUUUUUUUUAGUGGGUUGAAAUUCAAAGCGAUGUGGGUGCAUGGUAGCCUACAAUUAUGUACUUUAAUUCGUUUUUGGUUUUUUGAAUAUCGUCAAUUAGGUUUGGUUCGGUGAAUUGAUAAUUUAUGGAUAAUAGUUGUACAGUCCUGAUCUUUUGGAUUAUUGGGGUUUAAGAGAUUUGUGGUCAUUUACUGUUGGAUGUAAAUUCAACGGUUCACUCACUUUUACACUCCUUUUAAGAAACUUUUUAAAAUCAUUGGAUUAAUAUCCAACGAUGGGGUGACCACAAUCUCUUGGACUCUUGUGAUCCAAGAGAUCGGAAUUGAAUAGUUGUAAUUGUUGAACUAAUCUGAUUUGGUUUAUUUGCCGAAUUUCAAAAAAGAAAAAACCAGCCAAACCUAACCGUCCUAUUUGGCACUCAAUGCCUGUUUCUAGACAAGGGACCUUAACGCCAUCUAGUUUUCCAUCCAAAAAAUGGCACGUGACACGCACAUGCCAUAUACUUGGAUUUUUAGUAAUAAAAACUUGGUUAUUUACUAUAUUGCCUCCUGAAAUUUCGGUCAAAUCUCACUUUACCUCACCCAAGUUAAAAUAAUCCACUUAACCCCCUUAACCGUGAUUUCGUGUGCCACUUUACCCCACCGUUAUCUCCAUUAAUAACUCUAUUAGUUUUGAUGACGUGGCAGGGCUAUUUUAGUCUUUUUACCAAAUGUAAUUACUUGUUUAAUUAAAAAAAUUAUAUUAAAAAAUAGCAAAAUUAAUAAAUAAAAAUAUUGCUUCUCUAUUCUUUAAAAAUAAAAAAAUUAAAAAAUUAAAAACCUACCCAGAUCCAAUUCUCGCCAAAGAUCCCUCCCCAAAAAUGGCAUCAUCCUUUCUCCUUUCUCCUUUCUCCUUUCUCUGCAACAAACCAUCGCACCAUCAUCCAUAAACACCCAAACCCACCACCAACCACAUCCACCCACACCCCCCACUAGCCAUACCCACCCAAUCCCCAAAGAUUAUGACCAUGAAUUUGGCAUCCAUUGCAAUUGCCGUGAUUCCCCUAUAGAGGAAUUAGUGACUAACUGAAACAUUAAAAACUUUUUUAAUGGCAGAUGUUCUCUCUUCGUUGGGGGUGGGGGAUUUGGGGUCAAGGAAGUUCAGGGGGCAGCUCGGUGUAUGGUGUCGGUUUCAAAUGAUUGGGGGUCGGGGGAGUGUGGAUGGCUUGGGUGAUGGUUUGGUGGCUGGGUUGGUGUGUUGUGGCUCGGGGCUUAGAUGAUUUGGGGCGGGGGGAGUGUGGUUGACUUGGUGAUGGUUUGGUGGAGUGUGGGGGUGUGCUGGUGUGGAUGGUGCAAUAAGGAAGAUGGUGGUUGCUGGACCAGGGGUGGGGCUGCACUGCUUUCUUUAUUUUUUUUAUUUUUAUUUUUAUUUUAGCUUUACUGUUUUUUUAAAAAAUAAUUUUUUAUUCUUUUGUUUUUCAUUUGUUUUGUUAAUUUACUACAAUCUUGAUCUGGGAACGGUUUUUUUAAAAUAUUUUAUUUAUUUUUUAAAGCAUAGAAAAGAAAGAUUUUUAUUUAUUAAUUUUUCUAUAUAAUUUUUAAUUAAACAAGUAAUUACAUUAUUUUAUAUUUAAUUCAAUUUAAACAAAAAAAAAAGUGGGCCAUUCACAUGAUACAUCAUCAUUUGUGAUAAAAAGACUAAAAUAGCACUAUCACAUCAUCAAAAUUGACAGAAUUAUUAAUGGAGAUAACAGUAGAGGUAAAGUGGAACACGAAAUCACGAUCAAGGGGGUUAAGUGAGUUACUUUAACUUUUAAGAGGCAGGAAGGAGAGAAGUAAAGUAAGAUUUAACCGAAAUUUCAAGAGGUAUUAUAGUAAAUAAGCAUAAAAACUUUCAGAAAAAUAAUAUAACAAAAAACUAACUUACCCCAACCCCUUUCCCCCACCUUCUCCGUGAUCUCUACGUACUCCAAAUGGUACCAUUGGACAAUAUUUCCGUUUUCAAGACCUCUAUUUCGUUGACCCAAAAAGACCUUUAUUUCAACUGAUAUUUUAUUUUAUUUUAGCUGUUGAAACAGUCUAAAGAAAGUGUAAUUAAAAUAAAACCUGCUAACCCUAACAUAGUAAACGAUUGUACGGAGGUUUAAGCCAGCCUCACAAUCAAUACAUACUUUUGUGAGCUCUUCCAUAUAGCUGCAUAACCAAGAACAAUUCUUUCAAAUCUUUUGAUUUUUUUUUCCAACCAAAACAGAGCAUAAAAUCGAGUUUCGUCUCCAGCAACGAUUAAGCUGAUCUUGUUGAGAUUGAGACUACUACUAGUGCAUACAAAUCUACCAACAUAUCCAUUUCAUGAAAACACAAGAAAAUUCAUAUGGAGCAAUUUGACUCGAUCAACUUGGAUUACAGACUAUCUAUCUAUUGUGUAAAACCAAAGCAUCCUGAAUCUGUCAG
rnacentral:lncRNA from 1 species